CAGAAAUAAGAAGAAAAGAAAUUAAGAAAAGAUGACCAAUUAAGACAAUAUGUAUACAUGAGUAUUCUAUGUUUUAUUUCCUUUUUUAUUUAC
rnacentral:ribozyme from 1 species